rnacentral:rRNA from 1 species
AUUGAACGCUGGUGGCAGGCCUAACACAUGCAAGUCGAGCGAGCGGCGGACGGGUGAGUAAUGUCUGGGGAUCUGCCCGAUGGCGGGGGAUAACUACUGGAAACGGUGGCUAAUACCGCAUACCAUCGGAUGUACCCAUAUGGGAUUAGCUAGUAGGUGGGGUAAAGGCUCACCUAGGCGACGAUCCCUAGCUGGUCUGAGAGGAUGAUCAGCCACACUGGGACUGAGACACGGCCCAGACUCCUACGGGAGGCAGCAGUGGGGAAUAUUGCACAAGUGGCGCAAGCCUGAUGCAGCCAUGCCGCGUGUAUGAAGAAGGCCUUAGGGUUGUAAAGUACUUUCAGCGGGGAGGCGUUACCCGCAGAAGAAGCACAGGCUAACUCCGUGCCAGAAGCCGCGGUAAUAC